GAGUCAUUGUAGCAAUACAAGGCAGACGGCUCAGUAACGCGUAGUCCUUUAACCUAUGGACGGGGAUAACCUCGGGAAACUGAGACCAUACCCGAUAGAUCAUCAUGCCUGGAAUGGCCGAUGGUUGAAAUGAUUUAUCGCCAUAGGAUGGGACUGCGAUCUAUCAGCUUGUUGGUGAGGUAAUGGCCCACCAAGGCUAUAACAGAUACGGGCUCUGAGAGGAGAAGCCCGGAGAUGGGUACUGAGACACGGACCCAGGCCCUAUGGGGCGCAGCAGGCGAGAAAACUUUGCAAUGUGCGAAAGCACGACAAGGUUAAUCCGAGUGGUUCCUGCUAAAGGAACCUUUUGCCGGUCCUAAAAACACCGGUGAAUAAGGGGUGGGCAAGUUCUGGUGUCAGCCGCCGCGGUAAAACCAGCACCUCAAGUGGUCAGGAGGAUUAUUGGGCCUAAAGCAUCCGUAGCCGGCUGUGUAAGUUUUCGGUUAAAUCCAUGCGCUCAACGUAUGGGCUGCCGGGAAUACUGCACAGCUAGGGAGUGGGAGAGGUAGACGGUACUCGGUAGGGAGGGGUAAAAUCCACUGAUCUAUCGAUGACCACCUGUGG
rnacentral:rRNA from 1 species